CCCGUAGAUGUUCUGGGCCGCACGCGCGCUACACUGACGAAUGCAACGAGCUUAUAACCUUGGCCGAAAGGUCUGGGUAAUCUCCAAAUUUCGUCGUGAUGGGGAUAGAUUAUUGCAAUUAUUAAUCUUCAACGAGGAAUGCCUAGUAAGCGCAAGUCAUCAGCCUGCGUUGAUUACGUCCCUGCCCUUUGUACACACCGCCCGUCGCUCCUACCGAUUGAAUGGUCCGGUGAAGCGUUCGGACCGUGGCCUUUGGACGGUUCGCCGUCUGUUGGCUGCGGGAAGUUCGUUAAACCUUAUCAUUUAGAGGAAGGAGAANUCGUANCA
rnacentral:rRNA from 1 species